CCGACACCGCCCGUCACAUACACUUGAAACGACCGGUUGUACCCGAAGUCGACCGUGUUAACCCGACAAGGGAGACAGGUGCCGAAGGUAUGGCUGGUGAUUGGGAUG
rnacentral:rRNA from 1 species